rnacentral:rRNA from 1 species
UACAGAGGGUGCGAGCGUUGUCCGGAAUCACUGGGCGUAAAGGGCGCGUAGGUGGCGGGCCAAGUCAGUGGUGAAAGCUCGAUGCUCAACAUCGAGUCGGCCACUGAUACUGGUUUGCUUGAGCACUGUAGAGGCAGAUGGAAUUCCGGGUGUAGCGGUGGAAUGCGUAGAGAUCGGGAAGAACAUCGGUGGCGAAGGCGGCCUGCUGGGCUCUUGCUGACACUGAGGCGCGACAGCGUGGGGGAGCAAACAGG